GCCUAGCCGAAACACACAAUUAAAUUACCAAUUGUUCGCCAAACAACUACGAGUUAUACUUAAAACUUAAAAGACUUGACGGUACUUCACCACACCCUAGAGGAGCCUGUCUAAUAACCGAUAAUCCACGAUUAACCCAACCCCCUCUUGCCAACAGUCUAUAUACCGCCGUCGCCAGCUUACCUUGUAAAAGAAAUAUAGUGAGCUAAAUAGUACUUCACUAAAACGACAGGUCGAGGUGUAACUAAUGAAGGGUUAAGAUGGCUACAUUCUCCAACCGAGAACACGAACAAUACUAUGAAAUUAGUACUUAAAGGCGGAUUUAGCAGUAAGAUAAGAAUAAAAAGCUUAACUGAACAUAACGCAAUGAAGUGCGUACACACCGCCCGUCAUCCCUGCCACCACAAUGUAAACUUAAUAAACCUACGAAAAAAAUCAAACAGGGCAAGUCGUAACAUGGUAAGUGUACUGGAAAGUGCACUU
rnacentral:rRNA from 1 species